GUUUGUCCUAAAAUUGGUUAAAGCGAGGUGAAGAGUUUGAGCCGGGGUUUCAAGGACUACGCAGUUAUGGCAUUUCAUGAUAAUGAGGUUCCAAGGAUUUUUAAAGUGGCGUUGAAGGACACUUGUUUAAGUGGUGUGAUGACCCUUCCUAAGAAGUUUUCUGAGUAUACUGGUAGAAUUCCAGCAAAUGUACAGAUUAUUUUAAAAGAUGGCUUUGAAUGGAAUGUUAAAUUCUGGAAAGAAAGGA